UACAUGGGGUGCAAACGUUGCUCGGAAUUAUUGGGCGUAAAGCGCACGUAGGUGGUCUGUUAUGUCAGAUGUGAAAGCCCUCGGCUUAACUGAGGAAGUGCACCUGAAACUGGCAGGCUUGAGUACGAAAGAGGGUCGCGGAAUUGCCGGUGUAGAGGUGAAAUUCGUAGAUAAUCGGGAGGACACCGGUGGCGAAGGCGGCGACCUGGUUCGAUACUGACACUGAGUGCGAAAGCGUGGGGACAACAGG
rnacentral:rRNA from 1 species